rnacentral:pre_miRNA from 2 species
GAAAGUGUUUCCCCCACCAAAUGCACAUUCGUGCUAUAUGGCACACAGUUGAUUUAUAUUAUUUUCUAGUUCAUAAGUCUGUUGAGUGCCAUAGAGCAAGAAGUGUGAUGCAUCCUC